rnacentral:rRNA from 1 species
AGAGUUUGAUCCUGGCUCAGGAUGAACGCUGGCGGCGUGCCUAACCCAUGUAAGUCGAGCGAUCCCGUUAGCAAUAAUGGGAGAGCAGCGGAAGGGUGAGUAACACGUAGGAGACCUACCUCAUCGCCGGGAACAACGUCGCGAAAGCGGCGCUAAUACCCAGAAGGCUCAUGGCUUCAGUGCCAUGAGGAGAGUGCCCCCGCAAGGGGGUGCGUGAUGAGAGGGUCCUGCGGCCCAUCAGCUCGUUGGCAGGGUAACGGCCUACCAAGGCAACGACGGGUAGGGGGUCUGAGAGGACGAUCCCCCACACUGGAACUGAAACACGGUCCAGACGCCUACGGGUGGCAGCAGGGAGGAAUAUUGCACAAUGGGCGCAAGCCCGAUGCAGCAACGCCGCGUGAAGGACGAAGGCCUUCGGGUCGUAAACUUCUUUUGAGGGAGACGAGCAAGGACGGUAUCCCUCGAAUCAGCCACGGCUAACUACGUGCCAGCCGCCGCGGUAAUAC